rnacentral:lncRNA from 1 species
AAACCAAAUUUUUUUUAUUAAGAAGCUGCGCUGCGCCGCUGCUCCGCCUCGCUCGCACCACCACCGCCAGCCACUGCUCCGCCUCGCACCACCACCCACGGCCACUGCUCCGCCUCGCACCACCACCGCCGGCCACUGCUCCCUGCCCCCAGCCGCUGAAACCAAAAAAAGAAAAUUAAGAAGCUGCGCCGCUGCUCCGCCGCGCACCACCACCGUCAGCCACUGCUCCG